CAUGCAAGUCGAGCGAAUGAUGAGGAGCUUGCUCCUCUGAUUUAUCGGCGGACGGGUGAGUAACACGUGGGUAAUCUGCCUGUAAGACGGGGAUAACUCCGGGAAACCGGGGCUAAUACCGGAUAAUAAGAGAAGAAGCAUUUCUUCUUUUUGAAAGUCGGUUUCGGCUGACACUUACAGAUGAGCCCGCGGCGCAUUAUCUAGUUGGUGAGGUAACGGCUCACCAAGGCGACGAUGCGUAGCCGACCUGAGAGGGUGAUCGGCCACACUGGGACUGAGACACGGCCCACACUCCUACGGGAGGCAGCAGUAGGGAAUCUUCGGCAAUGGGCGAAAGCCUGACCGAGCAACGCCGCGUGAGCGAUGAAGGCCUUCGGGUCGUAAAGCUCUGUUGUUAGAGAAAAACAAGUACGAGAGUAACUGCUCGUACCUUGACGGUACCUAACCAGAAAGCCACGGCUAACUACGUGCCAGCAGCCGCGGUAAUACGUAGGUGGCAAGCGUUAUCCGGAAUUAUUGGGCGUAAAGCGCGCGCAGGCGGUCUCUUAAGUCUGAUGUGAAAGCCCACGGCUCAACCGUGGAGGGUCAUUGGAAACUGGGAGACUUGAGUGCAGGAGAGAAAAGUGGAAUUCCACGUGUAGCGGUGAAAUGCGUAGAGAUGUGGAGGAACACCAGUGGCGAAGGCGGCUUUUUGGCCUGUAACUGACGCUGAGGCGCGAAAGCGUGGGGAGCAAACAGGAUUAUAUACCCUGGUAGUCCACGCCGUAACGAUGAGUGCUACGUGUUGGGGGGUUCCACCCUCACUGCUGAGGUU
rnacentral:rRNA from 1 species